rnacentral:lncRNA from 13 species
AUGUUCCAUUCUUAUUUGGCAGCUGGGAUUCUUAUAAAGGGGCUCAAUUGCAUUAAUGCCCACGUCCUGGUUUUGUUUGUUCAAAGGGAAAAAAAACUAAAAGGAAACACAUUUCCCGAGUUGCACAUCAUGAUCAGGCAGAGUCCAGAUACACUUGGCAGAGCAAGGAUCCAUCCUUGCGGAGAUGCACAUGAACCAGGACUCUCUGCACCCACCCCUCUCGAGUUUUGUUUUCCAGUGGCUGGAAUGUUCCAGGACACCUGCCAUGAUGGAGGGUUAUCCGGGACCUGGAGAAUACCUGCUACCUAGUAGAUAACCAGGAGGGAAAGAAAAGGAAAGAGCAAGCUGGUGACAACGCAGGCUUCUACUGUGGAACUCAGAUUCAUCUGUGCAUUCAAUACAGGGAAGAUGCAUCAACCUCAGGGUGAGAAUUAUUUUGUGUUCAAUUCCAGUAAGAUCAAAUAACCUGGUUUGAAUUAUUGGAUUAAAAUAAUUUAGGAACUAUUAAUAUAUGUUGGUAGUCUUACCAAGUCUCAGAAGAUACUAGGAAAGAGGAAGGCAGAGUGAGGAGGGAGGUGGCCACUGCUGGAGGAUGUAACUGAGCCCUGAGAAGGGGAGGAGAGCAGAGGAGGAAGUGGAUCUUCCUGACUAGCAUGCCCAAAGUCUCCACUGCCAAGUGGCAUCAGGGUUCAAGCGCAAUACAAAAGAGGAUGCCACCUCUGAGACUGAGGCCUGGCCAGGGAGGAACUAUCGCUGUGCUGGGGAGGGAGAGGCUGGUGGGAGGGUGUGUGGAGCUUCUGUACUGUGUUUGCAACAGGAGUAGAAUCAGAUUUCAUCCAAGGGGACAUUGUAGCAAGCCUAUCAGUCUCUACCCUUGGCAUUGUUAUGAAGGAAGAGGGAAAGAACAGCUAUUUUAAAGGCUGGCUGAAGUUUGUGCUCCUGGCUUUAAUGCUGUGGUUCUUGGUCACCAGGACUCUUAAAAUGCAGUUGUUCCUAACCCCCCCCUAAAAAACCUGUAAUCCAGUGGGAUCUGCAUUUUAGGCAGACACUCACAGUGAUUGUGAUGUGAGGGGUUCUUUGCAAACCAUUUCCCAGAGCCCCCAUGGUGAGGAUACAUUAUUGGGCUAGGAUGAUCUGUGAAGGAACCGUUCAGUUAUUUAGUCAGAUAAUGGUUCUGGGGAGCCUAGUUUUGCAUAGAAGGAAAACAGGAACCUUCCUGCGGGAGACAGGUUAUUCUGCCAUAAAGUGAUUUGGAUUUUCUUAUUGGGCAAAUCCUAGAAUGAAGAUUUCAGUUGAGAAUUGUCAUGGGAGGUAGGGUAAGAACUCUAGGGGAAAAAGCUGGCUGGCCCCUGCCAACAGUUUGGGACCCAAGCCUUGACAGGGCCAGGCAAGUUCCCCUCUGGAAGCUAAACUUCAGCAGCAGAGACAUGGGGUUUUAUUUCGGAUCUGUAUAGCAAUUCCCCUCUUUUAUACCCAGGCCUCAUAAAGGUCUGCUACACAUGACAGUCCUGGAUGAGGGUGGUCUGAGAGUGAAAGGCCUGGAUCCCUGUUCACCGUGGAGCCGAGCGGCAGGGAAGACAGACAUAGCUGCCUUACAAAAUCAAGGCAGCUUGUAGCUGCCGUAACAAAAUCCCACAAACUGGGUGGUUUAACACAAUGGAAAUUUAUUUUCUCAGAAUUCUGAAAGGUGGGAGUCCAAAAUCAAGGUGUUGGCAGGGCUUCACUCUCUCUGAAACCUGAGCCCUUUCUGAAGUGGACCUGGUUACUUGCAUUUUAGGGUGAAAGACUUUAGUACGAUGGUCAAGACAAGAACUGUGGAGUGAGACUGCCUGCACGCAGAUCCUAUCACCACUUGUAAGCGGCAAGAGCUGGGGGAGGAGCUAAUCUCUGGUGCCCUCUGUAUUCUCAUAUGUAAAGGAGAAUUCUCUGUCGCCCCUUUCAGCUUCUGGUGUCGCUGGCCAGCCUCUGCCUCUGUUGCCACAUAGUGUCUCCUGUGUGUCUGUGUCCACAUUUCCCUCUUCUUAUAAGAACAGCAGUCAUAUUGGAUUAGGGCCCAUCCUAAUGACCUCAUUUUAAUUUGGUUACAUCUGCAAAGACCCUACUUCCAAAUGAGGUCACGUUCACAGACACCAGGGGUUAGGACUUGAACAGAUCCAUUUCGAGGGCACGUGCGAUUUAACCUGUAACAGAUGUCUAGAUAUGAGAUGGUGCCUCCUUCUACCCUUCACCCUGUCUCAGAAUCUUUAGAAAUACUUUGGUGGAGACUCAAUUUCUGGUAGAAAUAUCAGCAGUCUGUGAAAAUGACAGCUUGGGUAUUCGUUCCAGAAUAUUACAAGACAAGAUGACCCCAAAUGAACUCGGGCCCACUCUGGUUACAUAUGUGUAAUGAGUGCUUAGUGCUUAGUGAACUGUGUGUCAAAUGAAUUACCUAACUUCACUUGUACCAUGGCCAACUCUGUGUCAUCAUUGCAGGAUUCAAGUCUGGCUUGUCUGGGGCCAAGCUGAGUUCUCCAUGCAGAGAGGUACUUAAUAAAGGUUUCCAGUGUUUGCGCA